GACGAACGCUGGCGGCGUGCUUAACACAUGCAAGUCGAACGGUAAGGCCCUUCGGGGUACACGAGUGGCGAACGGGUGAGUAACACGUGGGUGAUCUGCCCUGCACUUCGGGAUAAGCCUGGGAAACUGGGUCUCAUACCGGAUAGGACCACUGCCGGCAUGGGUGGUGGUGGAAAGCUUUUGCGGUGUGGGAUGGGCCCGCGGCCUAUCAGCUUGUUGGUGGGGUGAUGGCCUACCAAGGCGACGACGGGUAGCCGGCCUGAGAGGGUGACCGGCCACACUGGGACUGAGAUACGGCCCAGACUCCUACGGGAGGCAGCAGUGGGGAAUAUUGCACAAUGGGCUCAAGCCUGAUGCAGCGACGCCGCGUGAGGGAUGACGGCCUUCGGGUUGUAAACCUCUUUCAGCACCGACGAAGCGCAAGUGACGGUAGGUGCAGAAGAAGGACCGGCCAACUACGUGCCAGCCGCCGCCGUAA
rnacentral:rRNA from 1 species